rnacentral:tRNA from 1 species
GCCCAGGACCCCACAACCGCUCUCCUAAAGCGGGUGUCGCAGGUUCGAAUCCUGCCGGGGGCACCA